GCCAGCUCUCCGCGCGGGAAGCACCUCAUCUGCCUGCUCUGCGCUUGGGGGUCGCUUCUUUGCCGAGGCUGGCUAGCGAGGGCAACCCCGCCGCCUCGAUCUCUCCACUGUCGGGAGCGGGGUUCUAUGCAGCAGAUGAAAUUUCUGGUCUAAUGAACCCUGAUUGAUUGUAUUGAUACCUGGCUUUUUUAGUGUGCACUAGCAUGUGUCUUUGGACUCCAGGACACUUUUACAACUGGAGGGGAAAAAGCAUAAAAGAAUUGAAACCUCAACAUUAAAAUGAUGCUCUGUG